CCCCUUGAGAGUGGCGAACGGGUGAGUAAUGUAUCGGAACGUGCCCAGUCGUGGGGGAUAACGUAGUGAAAAUUACGCUAAUACCGCAUACGAUCUAUGGAUGAAAGCGGGGGAUCGCAAGACCUCGCGCGAUUGGAGCGGCCGAUAUCAGAUUAGGUAGUUGGUGGGGUAAAGGCUCACCGAGCCAACGAUCUGUAGCUGGUCUGAGAGGACGACCAGCCACACUGGAACUGAGACACGGUCCAGACUCCUACGGGAGGCAGCAGUGGGGAAUUUUGGACAAUGGACGCAAGUCUGAUCCAGCCAUUCCGCGUGCAGGACGAAGGCCUUCGGGUUGUAAACUGCUUUUGUACGGAACGAAAAAGCUCUUAUUAAUACUAGGAGUCCAUGACGGUACCGUAAGAAUAAGCACCGGCUAACUACGUGCCAGCAGCCGCGGUAAUACGUAGGGUGCAAGCGUUAAUCGGAAUUACUGGGCGUAAAGCGUGCGCAGGCGGUUAUAUA
rnacentral:rRNA from 1 species